rnacentral:rRNA from 1 species
UGGGGAAUAUUGCACAAUGGGCGCAAGCCUGAUGCAGCAACGCCGCGUGAGGGAUGACGGCCUUCGGGUUGUAAACCUCUUUUAGUAGGGAAGAAGCGAAAGUGACGGUACCUGCAGAAAAAGCACCGGCUAACUACGUGCCAGCAGCCGCGGUAAUACGUAGGGUGCGAGCGUUGUCCGGAAUUAUUGGGCGUAAAGAGCUCGUAGGCGGUCUGUCGCGUCUGCUGUGAAAACCCGAGGCUCAACCUCGGGCCUGCAGUGGGUACGGGCAGACUAGAGUGCGGUAGGGGAGAAUGGAAUUCCUGGUGUAGCGGUGGAAUGCGCAGAUAUCAGGAGGAACACCGAUGGCGAAGGCAGUUCUCUGGGCCGUAACUGACGCUGAGGAGCGAAAGCGUGGGGAGCGAACAGGAUUAGAUACCCUGGUAGUCCACGCCGUAAACGUUGGGCGCUAGAUGUGGGGACCAUUCCACGGUUUCCGUGUCGCAGCUAACGCAUUAAGCGCCCCGCCUGGGGAGUACGGCCGCAAGGCUAAAACUCAAAUGAAUUGACGGGGUCAAGCUGUUUCCU